UAAGGCCUUGGUACUAAUUAAAGUUAUGAUAGAAUAUCAGAACCAGCUGUUUCUGUUGCUGGUUCAGAGUCUAUGAAGGGUGAUAUGCUGUCUGCCAUUGAGAGCAUUUGCUUGGGUUGUCUGGAGAGGUUGCAGAACCCUUCAGUAUAUCCUUGCUUUGUGAACAAUGAAUGGACAUGCUGUCACAUCUGCCAUAUAUCAAAUAGGAGUUGUGCUGCUAUGUCUGAGCGCUUUCACAAAAUCAGUCAAUCUUUGAUUGAUGAAUUUCAUGAGAUGCUGCUCUUCAACAAAGUUCUGGAUGAGAGAUUUGCCACAUAUCAAACUGCUGUUGCAAGGUUUGUACUUGACAUGCAGAUCUACAAGGACAUAGAUGGGGUUCUAGAAUUCUAUAUGAACUCUGAUGAUCUGUUGUCACAGCAGGGUGUGGCAUUUGAUCAUAGCAGCAUUCCAGAAAGCAUGUUUUCACAUUCUGCUAUUACAUCAGUGUCAUCCUCACUGGGCCA
rnacentral:sRNA from 1 species